rnacentral:rRNA from 2 species
AAAUUGAAGAGUUUGAUCAUGGCUCAGAUUGAACGCUGGCGGCAGGCCUAACACAUGCAAGUCGAACGGUAACAGGAAGCAGCUUGCUGCUUUGCUGACGAGUGGCGGACGGGUGAGUAAUGUCUGGGAAACUGCCUGAUGGAGGGGGAUAACUACUGGAAACGGUGGCUAAUACCGCAUAACGUCGCAAGACCAAAGAGGGGGACCUUCGGGCCUCUUGCCAUCAGAUGUGCCCAGAUGGGAUUAGCUUGUUGGUGAGGUAACGGCUCACCAAGGCGACGAUCCCUAGCUGGUCUG